GGUUGGGUUCCCAGUAGAUGUACUCUAGAACUCUUUAAUGUUCCUUCCAUUCUAGAACAGAAGGUUGGGUUCCCAGUAGAUGUACUCUAGAACUCUUUAAUGUUCCUUCCAUUCUAGAACAGAAGGUUGUGUUCCCAGUAGAUGUACUCUAGAACUCUUUAAUGUUCCUUCCAUUCUAGAACAGAAGGUUGUGUUCCCAGUAGAUGCAUAUCUAAUGAGGGGUUGGUGUCUCACAUGUUGAUGUUGAUACCUUAGUUAUUGCUAUUGUUUUACGUGAUAUUAAUAUUUUAUAUUAAUUUUGUUGUAAAGAUUGUAUGGAAUUCUUCUCCAGCACAGGUUCUGCCAUGUUGUUGAUCUGAAAGCAUGUCUCUUCAAUAAGUGUGUCUUUUUGUUUUUUAUAAAGAACUUGGUUUCAUAUUUGUUUGGAUGGUAGAAGUUAAACAUUGUGGUUUUUAUUAUGAGACACUAAUGUCUGUAUAUGUGGCACUUUGGAUUGAAGUAUUAAAAUAUAAUGGGGGAAAAUAA
ensembl:lncRNA